AGAUUGAACGCUAGCGGGAUGCUUUACACAUGCAAGUCGAAUGGCAGCGCGGACUUCGGUCUGGCGGCGAGUGGCGAACGGGUGAGUAAUAUAUCGGAACGUGCCCAGUAGCGGGGGAUAACUACGCGAAAGCGUGGCUAAUACCGCAUACGCCCUACGGGGGAAAGGGGGGAUUCUUCGGAACCUCUCACUAUUGGAGCGGCCGAUAUCAGAUUAGCUAGUUGGUGAGGUAAAGGCUCACCAAGGCGACGAUCUGUAGCUGGUUUGAGAGGACGACCAGCCACACUGGGACUGAGACACGGCCCAGACUCCUACGGGAGCAGCAGUGGGAAUUUUGGACAAGUGGGGAAACCCUGAUCCAGCCAUCCCGCGUGUGCGAUGAAAGGUCCGUUA
rnacentral:rRNA from 1 species